AUACGGAGGGUGCAAGCGUUAUCCGGAAUCAUUGGGUUUAAAGGGUCCGUAGGCGGACUAAUAAGUCAGGGGUGAAAUCCCACAGCUUAACUGCGGAACUGCCUUUGAUACUGUUAGUCUUGAGUUAUAUGGAAGUAGAUAGAAUGUGUAGUGUAGCGGUGAAAUGCUUAGAGAUUACACAGAAUACCGAUUGCGAAGGCAGUCUACUACAUAUAUACUGACGCUAAUGGACGAAAGCGUGGGGAGCGAACAGGAUUAGAAACCCGAGUAGUCC
rnacentral:rRNA from 1 species